AUUGAACGCUGGCGGCGUGCUUAACACAUGCAAGUCGAUCGGUAACAGGUGUAGCAAUACAUACUGGCGAGAGGCGGACGGGUGAGGAACGCUUGGGAAUCUGCCUAUCAGCGGGGGACAACCCGGGGAAACCCGGGCUAAUACCGCAUACGCUCUACGGAGGAAAGCCGGGGACCGCAAGGCCUGGCACUGAUAGAUGAGCCCAAGUCGGAUUAGCUAGUUGGCGGGGUAACGGCCCACCAAGGCGACGAUCCGUAGCUGGUCUGAGAGGACGAUCAGCCACACCGGAACUGAGACACGGUCCGGACUCCUACGGGAGGCAGCAGUGGGGAAUAUUGGACAAUGGGCGAAAGCCUGAUCCAGCGACGCCGCGUGGGUGAAGAAGGCCUGCGGGUUGUAAAGCCCUUUCGGUAGGGACGAAAGCUCUCGACCUAACACGUCGGGAGGUUGACUUAACCUACAAAAGAAGCACCGGCUAACUCUGUGCCAGCCGCCGCGGUAACAC
rnacentral:rRNA from 1 species